CUGCCCUCAAGCCCGGCUUGUGUGUUGGGCCCCGUCCCCCUCUCCGGGGGACGGGCCCGAAAGGCAGCGGCGGCACCGAGUCCGGUCCUCGAGCGUAUGGGGCUUUGUCACCCGCUCUGUAGGCCCGGCCGGCGCCAGCCGACAACCCAUCAUCCUUUUCA
rnacentral:misc_RNA from 1 species